GAUGAACGCUGGCGGCGUGCCUAAUACAUGCAAGUCGAACGAACAGACGAGGAGCUUGCUCCUCUGACGUUAGCCGAAGACGGGUGAGUAACACGUGUAUACCCUACCUGUAAGACUGGGAUCACUUCGAGACACCGGCGCUAAUCCCGUAUAAUAUAUUGCACCACAUGGUUCAAUAGUGAAAGUCGGUGUUGCUGUCACUUCUAGCUGGAUCCCCGCCUGAUUAGCUAGUUGUUGAGUUCACGGCCUACGAAGGCAAGGAUGCGUGGCCGAGCGGAGAGGGGGAUAGGCCACACUGGAAGUGGGACAGCGACCAGGCGCCUACGGGAGGCAGCAGUAGGGAAUCGGACGCAAUGGGCGAAAGCUUGACGGAGCAAGGGCGCGUGAGUGAUGAAGGCCUUCGGAUCGUAAAACUCUGUUAUUAGGGAAGAACAAAUGUGUAAGUAACUAUGCACGUAGUGACGGUACCUAAUCAGAAAGCAACGGCUAACUACGUG
rnacentral:rRNA from 1 species